GCCUGGAUGGCUCAGUCAGUUAAGCGUCUGACUUCAGCUCAGGUCAUAGUCUCAUGGUUCGUGGGUUUGAGCCCCGCGUUGGGCU
rfam:Felis catus isolate Cinnamon breed Abyssinian chromosome D2, whole genome shotgun sequence.